UUCUGCAUAAUCUUAAAGCAAGUAUGACUUUGUUAACCAUCUUCGUCUGGACAUUCUUAGGAAGCCAAGGGGCUUUUGGAGACGUCAUUCUUACUCAGUCUGGGUCUAAGUCAGUUCAGCUUGGUCAGACAGUCACCAUUGACUGCAAAUCCAGCUCCAAAGUUUACAGAUAUCCAGAAGUUACCAAGGGCCGUUAUUAUACAUCCUGGUACCUUCAGAAACCUGGAGAAGAGCCAAAGCUACUGAUAUAUUUGUCUGAUGAGAGAUUUUCUGGAGUUUCCUCUAAGUUCAGUGGUGGUGGAGGUCAUCCUUCAUCUGGAGGGAAUGGUCUUGAUUUCACUCUGGCCAUCAGUGGAGUCCAGGCUGAAGAUUCUGGAGAUUAUUACUGUAUGACUCUACAUAAGAUCAGUGGUAGCUGGGUGUUCACACAGUGA